UGGGUGGGGACCACCAUGGGCAACGCGGCUGGCAGCGCCGAGCAGCCCGCGGGCCCUACCGCGUCGCCCCCGAAACAGCCAGCCGUCCCCAAGCAACCGAUGCCAGCUGCGGGGGAGCUGGAGGAGAGGUUCACGCGGGUCUUGAACUGUAUGAACUUGCCGCCAGACAAGGUCCAGCUGCUGAGCCAGUAUGACAAUGAGAAGAAAUGGGAGCUCAUCUGUGACCAGGAGCGGUUUCAAGUCAAGAAUCCCCCUGCAGCCUACAUCCAGAAGCUGAAGAGCUACCUGGAUACCGGUGGGGUCAGCCGAAAGGUAGCAUCUGAUUGGAUGUCCAACCUGGGGUUUAAGAGGCGAGUUCAGGAGUCUACACAGGUGCUUCGGGAGCUGGAGACUUCCCUGAGGACAAACCACAUUGGGUGGGUGCAGGAAUUCCUCAAUGAAGAGAACCGGGGCCUGGAUGUCCUGCUUGAGUACCUGGCCUUUGCCCAGUGCUCUGUUGCGUAUGACAUGGAAAGCACAGAAAAUGUGGCCUCUGGUGCAGAGAAGAGCAAGCCCCUGGACCAGUCUGUGGAAGACCUCAGCAAGCCUCCACCUUCAUCUGUGCCCAAGAGUCGCCUGACCAUCAAGUGCCCCCCUUCUCCCCGGCUGACCCCUGCCCACAGCAGGAAGACGUUGAGGAAUUCCCGAAUCGUCAGCCAGAAGGACGAUGUCCAUGUAUGCAUCAUGUGUCUGAGAGCCAUCAUGAACUACCAGUCCGGCUUCAGCCUUGUUAUGAACCACCCAGCCUGUGUCAAUGAGAUCGCUCUAAGCCUUAACAACAAGAACCCCAGAACCAAGGCUCUGGUCCUGGAGCUGCUGGCGGCUGUGUGCCUCGUGCGGGGUGGGCACGACAUCAUUCUUGCGGCCUUUGACAACUUCAAGGAGGUGUGCGGGGAGCAGCACCGAUUUGAAAAGCUAAUGGAGUAUUUCCGGAAUGAAGACAGCAACAUUGACUUCAUGGUGGCUUGCAUGCAGUUCAUCAACAUUGUGGUACACUCUGUGGAGAACAUGAACUUUCGUGUCUUCUUGCAAUAUGAGUUCACUCACCUGGGUCUGGACCUGUACUUGGAGAGGCUCCGGCUCACCGAGAGUGACAAGCUGCAGGUGCAGAUCCAGGCAUACCUGGACAACGUUUUUGAUGUGGGAACACUGUUGGAGGAGACAGAGACAAAGAAUGCAGUGCUGGAGCACAUGGAGGAGCUGCAGGAGCAGGUGGCAACGCUGACAGAGCGGCUUCGGGACACAGAGAACGACUCCAUGGCCAAGAUCGCUGAACUGGAGAAGCAGCUAAGCCAGGCUCGCAAGGAAUUGGAGACCCUGAGGGAGCGCUUCAGCGAGUCGACCCCCAUGGGCACUUCCAGAAGAAUCCCUGAACCUGAGAAAGUGCCUGCCCCUACUGUGGUGCGACCCUCAGCUCUAGAACUGAAGGUGGAGGAGCUUGAGGAAAAGGGGUUAAUCCGUAUCCUGCGGGGGCCGGGGGAUGUCGUCUCCAUCGAGAUCCUCCCAGGAGCUGCGGCGACACCAAGCGGUGACGACGCAUCAGCUCCGAGAGUGUCUACUGAUUCCGCUAACACAGCCGAGUCAGUUCCCGAAGCAGCAUCAGCACCGCCUCCGCCACCUCCACCACCACCUCCACUACCUAACCUCCAGUCCCAGCAGGAAGCCCUUCCCUCUGCACCCCCGCUGGCCCCGCCCCUCCCAGGCUGCGCAGAGCCACCACCUGCACCGCCGUUGCCUGGAGACCUGCCUCCCCCACCUCCACCACCCCCACUUGGUACUGACGGACCAGUGCCACCGCCACCCCCACCACCUCCGGGAGGGCUCCCUGAUAUCCUCGGAGGACAAGGCCCAGAUAUAGGUCCAGGGGUGAAAGCCAAAAAACCCAUCCAGACCAAAUUCCGGAUGCCAUUGCUUAACUGGGUGGCGCUGAAACCCAACCAGAUCACAGGCACUGUCUUCACCGAGCUCAAUGAUGAAAAGGUGUUGCAGGAGCUAGACAUGACUGACUUUGAGGAGCAGUUUAAGACCAAAUCCCAAGGCCCCAGCCUGGAUAUCAGCGCUCUGAAGGGGAAGGCGGCCCACAAAGCCCCCACUAAGGCAACACUCAUUGAAGCCAACCGGGCCAAGAAUUUGGCCAUUACCCUGCGCAAAGGCAACCUAGGAGCUGACAGAAUCUGCCAGGCCAUUGAGACGUAUGACCUACAGACUCUCAGCCUGGAUUUCUUGGAGCUGUUGACCCGCUUCCUGCCCACAGACUACGAGCGUAGCCUCAUAGCCCGAUUCGAGAAGGAACAGCGGCCGAUGGAAGAGCUGUCAGAGGAGGACCGCUUCAUGCUCCGCUUCAGCCGCAUCCAGAGACUUCCAGAGCGCAUGAACACACUCACCUUCCUGGGCAACUUUCCAGACACGGCCCAGCUGCUCAUGCCGCAACUGAACGCCAUCAUUGCAGCCUCCAUGUCUGUCAGGUCCUCUGACAAGCUUCGUCAGAUCCUAGAGAUUGUCCUGGCUUUUGGCAACUACAUGAACAGUAGCAAACGUGGGGCAGCCUAUGGUUUCCGUCUUCAGAGUCUGGAUGCGUUGUUGGAGAUGAAGUCGACUGACCGGAAGCAGACAUUGUUGCACUACUUGGUGAAGGUCAUUGCUGAGAAGUACCCACAGCUCACGGGCUUUCACAGUGACCUCCACUUCUUGGACAAGGCAGGCUCAGUGUCCCUGGACAGUGUCCUGGGAGACGUGCGGUCCUUGCAGCGAGGUCUGGAGUUGACACAGAGAGAGUUUGUGCGGCAAGAUGACUGCCUGGUGCUCAAGGAGUUCCUGAAAGUCAACUCUCCCACCAUGGACAAGCUGCUGGCAGACAGCAAGACGGCUCAGGAGGCCUACGAGUCUGUGGUGGAGUACUUUGGAGAAAAUCCCAAGACCACAUCUCCCUCCAUGUUUUUUUCCCUCUUCAGUCGCUUCACCAAAGCCUACAAGAAAGCAGAACAGGAGGUAGAACAGUGGAAGAAGGAAGCAGCGGCUGAUACCUCAGGCAGGGAAGAGCCUCCAGCACCCAAGUCUCCACCCAAGGCCAGGCGACAACAGAUGGACCUCAUCUCUGAGCUAAAACGGAAGCAGCAGAAAGAGCCCCUCAUCUAUGAGAGUGACCGAGACGGGGCCAUUGAAGACAUCAUCACAGGUGAGAGCUUAGUCAGGUCACUGUCCUGUGUCUGUUUCUAGUCUCUACUAUGUCCUUCUCUUCCUGCAUUUCUCCCCACUCUGAGGGGUCUGCUGCCUCCUCCCACCUUCAGUCUCAUUGUGAAGCCCUGGCUUGCCUGGAACUUGCUGUGUAGACCAGGCUGGUCUCAAACUCACAGAGAUUUUCUUGCCUCUGCCCCUGCAGUGCUGGGAUUAAAGGCAUGGGCCACCAUGCCUGUUCUGCAUAACUCUUGCUACCUUUUCUGUUUUUUUUUCUUUUUUCUCUCUCUCUGCCUCCUAUCCCCAAAACCUCAGUCCUCAAGACAGUGCCCUUCACUGCCCGCACCGGCAAGCGGACAUCCCGGCUCCUCUGUGAGGCCAGCCUGGGAGAGGAGAUGACCCUCUAGCUCCCAGAUCUUCGGAACCAGCCGUACAUCCGUGCAGACACAGGACGCCGAAGUGCUCGCCGGCGGCCCCCUGGACCCCCACUGCCGGUCACUGUUGACCUCUCGCUGUAGCCA